rnacentral:tRNA from 1 species
GGUGGCUCAGUGGUAGAGUACUUGCUUCACAUGCAUGAGGCCCUGGGCUCGAUUCCUGAGCACCA